rnacentral:rRNA from 1 species
UACGAAGGGGGCUAGCGUUGCUCGGAAUUACUGGGCGUAAAGCGCACGUAGGCGGCUUUCUAAGUCGGGGGUGAAAUCCUGGAGCCCAACUCCAGAACUGCCUUCGAUACUGGAGAGCUUGAGUCCGGGAGAGGUGAGUGGAACUGCGAGUGUAGAGGUGAAAUUCGUAGAUAUUCGCAAGAACACCAGUGGCGAAGGCGGCUCACUGGCCCGGUACUGACGCUGAGGUGCGAAAGCGUGGGGAGCAAACAGG